rnacentral:rRNA from 1 species
CCUACGGGAGGCAGCAGUGAGGAAUAUUGGUCAAUGGCCGGAAGGCUGAACCAGCCAUGCCGCGUGAAGGUCAGUGCCCUAUGGGCGUUAAACUUCUUUUGUGCGGGAGCAAUAAUGGUCACGUGUGGCCAGACGAGAGUACCGUACGAAUAAGCAUCGGCUAACUCCGUGCCAGCAGCCGCGGUAAUACGGGGGAUGCAAGCGUUAUCCGGAUUUAUUGGGUUUAAAGGGUGCGUAGGCUGGGAGGUAAGUCAGCGGUGAAAUGCCCCCGCUCAACGGGGUGAAGUGCCAUUGAUACUGCCUGGCUGGAAUGCGGAUGCCGUGGGAGGAAUGUGUGGUGGAGCGGUGAAAUGCAUAGAUAUCACACAGAACACCGAUUGCGAAGGUAUCUCACGAAUCCGCGAUUGACGCUGAUGCACGAAAGCGUGGGUAUCAAACAGGAUUAGAUACCCCAGUAGUC